rnacentral:lncRNA from 1 species
GCAAAGGAGGUAAGCAGUGGUGAGAAAGAGGAGGUGGCCUGCGUCACUCAAAGGCCCAUGUUCUCCCUGCUGCUGGCCAACCGGACUGCGUGGUAUCGCUAAAGCUCCAAGUUUGCAGCAUGCAACUGGAAGGAGAGCAAAGUGUUCAUAUCGAACAAGCUCUGGAAUGGCUAAGGAAAGAGCUGGAAGAAGUAACCUGGAAAAAUAAAAUUUCCAGGCUCUGAUGCUGCCGCUCUUCCCUUCCUGACAACACAGCUUGGGAAUGACUGAGACAACACACACCCUCCAGUGAAAGGAAGUCUGUUGAGCUAGUUUUCCAACAGCUACACACUGAUAUUUCUCUUCCUGCAUAAAGACUGUGC